CCGAGAUGAGUUCUCCCUGAGACUACAAGUCUCCUGAAGGAACGUUGAAGACGACGACGUUGAUAGGCCGGGUGUGUAAGCGCAGCGAUGCGUUGAGCUAACCGGUACUAAUGAACCGUGAGGCUUAACCUUACAACGCCGAAG
rnacentral:rRNA from 1 species